GAUGAAGAACGUAGCUAAAUGCGAUAAGUAGUGUGAAUUGCAGAAUUCAGUGAAUCAUCGAAUCUUUGAACGCACAUUGCGCCCCUUGGUAUUCCAUGGGGCAUGCCUGUUCGAGCGUCAUUUGUACUCUCAAGCUAAGCUUGGUGUUGGGUGUUUGUCCACUCCCUCGUGUUUGGACUCGCCUUAAAACAAUUGGCAGCCAGUGUUUUGGUAUUGAAGCGCAGCACAAUUUGCGAUUCUAGCCUAGAAUACUAGCAUCCAUCAAGUCAUUUUUAACGCUUGACCUCGGAUCAGGUAGGGAUACCCGCUGAACUUAAGCAUAUCAAUAAGCGGAGGA
rnacentral:misc_RNA from 1 species